AUGGAGCUCCGCCUCGGUUGCAAUGGAGCUUCACCGCAGCUACAAAUGGAGCGCAUCCGAGAUCAUUGGAGCUCUGCCGCGGCUGCAAUGGAGCUCCGCCUCGGUUGCAAUGGAGCUUCACCACAACUACAAUGGAGCGCGGCCAGGGCUGUAAUGGAGCGCCGCCGUGGCUGCAAUGAAGCUUCACCGGAGACGUCGUCAUGCGGUGUCGAUGCUUUUUUGUGCUUGGUGUGGCCAUGGCCAUGGCUGCAAUGGAGUAGCACGCUGGUGCUCCCGGAGCGCGCCCCAACGAUGCAAUGGAGCGCUGCCGGUGAUGCAGCGAUCGGCGGCGGCUCUUGA
rnacentral:rRNA from 1 species